GGCCCCUUCUUCCCUUGCAGAACCUGACUCGGGUCAAGCUUGCUAGGCUCGUGCCUCCCCCCUUUCUUGUCUGGAGUGACAUUGCCCCUCCGCUUCCCCGAGUCCGGCUCCUUUCACCCCCUCCGCAGCGAGGAACCAACUGGAGAACCAUCUCCUAAAAGACCAAGAGGAAGACCAAGAGGAAGCAAAAACAAGAGUCCCUCUAAAGCAGCUCAGAAGAAAGCAGAAGCCACUGGAGAAAAACGACCCAGAGGCCGGCCCAGGAAAUGGCCGCAACAAGUGGUUCAGAAGAAGCCUGCUCAGGAAGAGACUGAAGAAACUGAAGAGACAUCCUCACAAGAAUCUGCAGAGGAAGACUAAGAGACCACACCAUUCAAUUUCUACCUCAUCAGCAGUUGGGUCUUUUGAAGGGAGAAGACGCUGCCUUGACCACUUAUUUUCUAUGCCAUGGUCUUUCCACUUAUGCCUGGGGGGGAAAAAAUCACAUAACCUUAAAAAAGACUAUAUUAAUCACCUUCUUUUUAAUCCCUUCACAGUCCCAGGUUUAGUGAAAAACUGCUGUAACACAAAGGGGACACAGAUUACCGAUGCAACUUUUAAUUACGGUUUUCUUUUUUCUUAACCUAUUAAUAGUUUGUUUGAGCUGCUAAGUAAGGGUGACUGGGUCAGGAAAGCUUUGAAUCAGGUUUAAGUCAUUCACUGCACUGCAUAUAAACAGGAGACUUGUAACAUAAUUUUACGGGCAUUGAAAUAGGAAAGGCUUGGUGUAUAGCACUAUCAGUCUUAACAACACCUCAAAAACCCACUCCCGAGCUUAGUAAACUCCCUGUUUAGAACACCAAAGAUAAGGGAUAGAUACUACUCUCUUUUUGUAUCCUUCUUGUAGACUUGUACUUGAUUUUUUUUAAAAACUUACUGUUAUUUCAGGAAAAAUUGAGAGUUGAUUAUUCACUUAAUUCAGCCAAUAAUCAAAAGAAAGAAAACAAGGUACUUUCAUUUUACAAAAGGGAAAGAAAGACAAAGAUACGUUGUAUACUUACAGAUACAAACAUAUCAGCAGAAAUAGUAAUAAACAAAACUCAGAGCACUCAUCUUUUAGGAAUUCAGGUAGACUCUACUUUUUGCAGAGCCAGACAUUUUUUACAAAAUUAGUGGUGACUUACACCAAAACACUCUAAAGCCAUAUAUAAAUGCAGAGAUUUUCAGUUAAAGAGGUUUUGGAGGGAAAAAUUAUGCAAAGGUACCACGGAAUGAAUCAGGAGCUUACCUGAAGCAAGAAAAAAACAUUUUGUUUGAUGGCUAAUUUCACCCGCCCUGUCUCAAUAUUUCAAAGGGAAUGAAUCUCUUCUCAUUACUCACCAGUCUUGAUGUAAGAAUCAACAUCAUGUACCUCAAGUGAGCUUGUAUAUUACUUUAAGCAAUAUACUUUGACAUAGGAUGGUUCGCUGGGCAGUUUUAUUCCAGUGACAUUUCUCCAUCUCUUUCACUCAAAGCAGCACUUUUAGCAACAGUUGCAAUAUUACCCCACUAUUCAAUACUACCUCUGAUUUGUACAAUUAACUCAUCAGCCUGAUAAAUACAUGCUGCUAUACACAUACAGUGCAGGAAAUUAUUAUUGGGUAGAUAAUCAUGAAUAUCUACAUUUUCUCCUUAUUUCUUCUUCAAUACUUAAUGGCGCAAUAUUUUAAUGUGUUUCAGCAUGUCUAUGUAUUUUUCUUUUUUUAAAAUGUACUUAUUCUUAUUCUCUGCUACAUUUCUGUGUAAUGUACUGUUAACUUGAAUAUAUUUUUGUACUGAAUUACUCAUAGGUUUGUAAGGAUAAUUUUCAAUGACACUACAUGACAUAGAAAAAAAUUAGUCGUAAUGUUUAAAUAUUACUGUCCAAGUUUGUACCUCAAAUGAAUUGUUUAAAGAAAUGGACUAAUCAAUUGACAAAGACCUACCUCCAGACUUUAAAUGGAAUGAACUUGUUACUUUCAGCAUUAGUUUGAAAUGUUUGAAACAGUUAGGACUGCAACUAAUCCCUAAUUCAAAACUAUUUUUUGUAAACAAACUUUGCUGGAAAUGAACACAUUUUAAAUUACUUUCAUAUUAAAAACAAAAAACAAAAAAACCUUCAAAGAAACUUGAAGCUUUGUAGGUGGGAAGCAACAAGCUCAGCUUUUGCAUAAUGCAAUCACAAAUAUGUGUUUUUUAAAUAGUAGAUUGUAAGAAAAUACUUGACAAGUAUUUUCAUGUAUUUUACACAAAUGUGAUUUUUGUAAUAUGUUUCAAACCUGAUUUAUUUUGAAUGCUUCGUAUGUAGAGGCUUUUUUAUUCCUCUCUUUCUCUUUCUCUCUCUCUCGUGCAUUCUCUCUCUCUCACUCUCUCUCCUAGUCAGUACAUCUGCUUUGUGACAUUGUAUUAUUAACUGGGCCAGGGGUAGUUUCUCAGGAAGGCUUCAAUUGGUAUGGCUUUUAAGUCAAAUGCACCUAAAGAUAACUACUUACUGACUUCUUCCAAGACAUGAUAUCAAGAAACAAGGAUCUCAAAAGACUUACAGAAGGCUCAUUCUUGGGGGUUACUGAGAAAGAGCCAGUCUGAGUAUUAAAACUAGAUGUGUUAAUGCUAACUAAACAAAGGAUAAUCAUAUCCAUUUUGUGUCUUAUUAAAGGCUGCAUCCAUUGUCCCUUGCAGUCAAUGGAAGGACUCCAGUUGACUUCAAAGGAUACUGAAUCAGGCUUGAACAAUUUGUUUAACAAAUGCGUUUUGUGUUUUUAAAAAAACAUACUAUUCAACAGAUGAAACAGAAGUAGUGAUGCAUGUGGAUCAAGCUCCGAGGGACUUACAGCUCUGAUGAAGUUCAUCUUACAUUGUCUAAAUAUUGUAGUACAAUCAAAACACAUUACUACCUCUUAGGGCCUACUAUACCUCAUUUUUCAGACUGAAAACUGCUUGUGGCCAUUGAAACAGUGAGAACAUCAUAAAAUUUUUAUAUAUAUAGUUUAUUUUUAUGGGAGAUAAAUUUUAUAGGACUGUUCUUUGCUGUCAUUGGUCACUAGUAAAUAAAACUGGACAUUAAACUUUUCUACCAUUUCUGCAAUAUAGGUAUGUUUGCAGGAAACAAGUUUCAAAAUGUUUAACUGCAGUUUACUGUUCUCCUGUUCCUUUUUGCUUUGUUCUUCAUGUAGAAUUGCUGUCUAUGAUUGUACUUUGAAUCGCUUGCUUGUUGAAAAUGGUCCUUUAAUGGAUUAUCACAGUCUGUUCAGCACAAUAAACAUAAUAGCCUCUGUGAUCCCCAAGUUAUUUGAUUCUUAGACUUUUGUCACAUCUCCAUGAAAUGGGUAAUAAAGUUUGGUCACAAGUGGGCCAAAUUUGUAAAA